AUGGGAUUGAUAUGUUUUGUUUGCCGUGUUCAUUUUGUAAAUGUCAACAAUCUGGUUAGGCAUAUGCGUUUAAUUCAUGGUUUUUAUAGUGGCAAAGCACUUCGUUUGAAAUGUGCUCAGCCAGGAUGUUGUCAUGUUUUUGGGACUUUCUCUGGUUUUAGAAAGCAUUUGCUUACUAAACAUUGUGGGCAAACUGAGCCUGAAGAGGAAUCGGGUGACACUGUAGACAGUGAUGUUAGAAAUGACUCUCAGUUACCAAUAAAUGAAAAUACGGCCAGUAUUUCUCAAGUUGUGCCUGUAUCUGACAAAAGUAUUCUUGACUUAUGUGCAUCUGCUAUUGCGCAACUUCAGGUUGCUGGUGUAGCCCAGUCUACUUUAAAUGGCUUUGUAUCAUCAAUGGAAGAGGUUGUUAUGGAAAUACAGAGUCAAGCAAAAGCCACAGCUUUGAAAUGUUUAGCACCACAAGACACACAUUUGAAAAUUAAAGUUGAAAAAAGUUUUGAAAAACUUGAAAACCCUUUUACGUCUUUCAAUUCGGAAACAAAACGAAGCAACUAUUUUCAACAGAAAUGGAAAACUGUUGAACCAGUUGAAAAAGUUCUUGGUGUCAGAUUGGAGAACCGAAGAAACAGAUCUAGUGGGACUUACAAACAGGUUGUUGUGACUGAUAAGUUUGCAUAUGUUCCAAUUCUAGAGACACUGCAGUCUAUUAUCAGAAAUCCAAAUUUUGCACAUAUGCUGACAUCUAGCCAUCUUUCCAAGGAUGGGGUAUACUUUGACAUACAGGAUGGGCUCUAUGUGAAGAGCCAUCCGCUUUUUUCAAAAAAAGACUUUGCCUUUCUCAUUCAGUUAUUUUACGAUGAAUUUGAGACUGCUAAUCCACUUGGGUCCAAAAAGGGUAUACAUAAAUUAGGGGGUAUAUAUUUUACAUUGAGAAAUUUUCCACCAAAAUUAAAUUCAUCUUUAGUCAACAUACAUUUGUGUGCACUUUUUCAUGCUCAAGAUAUCAAAACAUAUGGUUUUAACACCAUCCUUGAGCCAAUCAUCAGUGAUCUGAAGGUGCUUGAAACUUGUGGAAUUACAUCUCCCAUGUUUCAAAGUCCUGUUCGUGGUAGCGUUGUCCAAGUCACAGGGGACAAUCUUGGUCUUCAUGGAAUAUUUGGGUUUGUUGAGUCAUUUAGUGCUCAUUACUGCUGUCGUUUUUGUGUAACUGAGAAAAGUGAAUUUCAGUCUGUGUUCUGUGAAAAUGAAAGCGUCAUAUUCCGUACAAAAGACAUGCACGCAGAGCAUUGCUGUACUGUACAGACAAAUCCACAACUACCUCAUUUUUACGGUGUCAAGCGUUCAAGUCUGUUGAAUACUUUGCAGUUUUUUAACACGGCAGAUAAUUUUUCUGUUGAUGUGAUGCAUGACAUUUUGGAGGGAGUUGCACAGUUUGAGGUAAAACUUAUAUUGGAAUAUGUACAGCAAAACUUCCUAACAGCAAAAGAACUGUCUGGUAGAACAGAGUCUUUUAACUAUGGCCACACAGAGCGACGAAAUCGUCCUCCUGCUGUCAAGUUGUUUGAUGGUAGUAAUGACUUGGGCUUGAAUGCAAUACAGUCAUGGUGUUUGCUGCGCAAUAUGCCAUUGAUAUUUGGUGAUUUAGUGCAGAAAGGCAAUGAGUACUGGCAUCUUUUAUUAUUGCUUCUCCAGAUAGUUGGUAUUGUAUUUGCUCCGGUUAUAACAGAUGGUAUGACUAUCUUUUUGAAACACCUAAUCGUGGAGCAUCAUCAGCUUUUUAAACAUCUGUUUCCUUCCCGAAACCUCUUGCCUAAACAUCACUUCAUGAUACACUAUCCACGAUGUAUAAGAAAUAUUGGACCGAUUCUACACAUGUGGUCAAUGCGUUAUGAGGCAAAACACAACUUUUUUAAAACCCAACUGAAAAGUUUCAAAAAUAUCACCAAGACUUUGGCUAAAAAGCACCAAAGAUACAUGGCCUUGCAUUGGGAAGCUUUAAUCAUUUCAGAUUAA
rnacentral:lncRNA from 1 species